UUAAGCGACUAAGCGUACACGGUGGAUGCCCUGGCAGUCAGAGGCGAUGAAGGACGUGCUAAUCUGCGAAAAGCGUCGGUAAGGUGAUAUGAACCGUUAUAGCCGGCGAUGUCCGAAUGGGGAAACCCAGUGCAAUUCGUUGCACUAUCGUUUGAUGAAUACAUAGUCAAACGAGGCGAACCGGGGGAACUGAAACAUCUAAGUACCCCGAGGAAAAGAAAUCAACCGAGAUUCCCCCAGUAGCGGCGAGCGAACGGGGAGCAGCCCGGAGUCUGAAUCAGCUUGUGUGUUAGUGGAAGCGUCUGGAAAGUCGCAGGGUACAGGGUGAUACUCCCGUACACUAAAACACACAGGUUGUGAACUCGAAGAGUAGGGCGGGACACGUGGUAUCCUGUCUGAAUAUGGGGGACCAUCCUCCAAGGCUAAAUACUCCUGACUGACCGAUAGUGAACCAGUACCGUGAGGGAAAGGCGAAAAGAACCCCGGCGAGGGAGUGAAAAAGAACCUGAAACCGUGUACGUACAAGCAGUAGGAGCCCACUUGUUGGGUGACUGCGUACCUUUUGUAUAAUGGGUCAGCGACUUAUAUUCUGUAGCAAGGUUAACCGUAUAGGGGAGCCGCAGGGAAACCGAGUCUUAACUGGGCGUUAAGUUGCAGGGUAUAGACCCGAAACCCGGUGAUCUAGCCAUGGGCAGGUUGAAGGUUGGGUAACACUAACUGGAGGACCGAACCGACUAAUGUUGAAAAAUUAGCGGAUGACUUGUGGCUGGGGGUGAAAGGCCAAUCAAACCGGGAGAUAGCUGGUUCUCCCCGAAAGCUAUUUAGGUAGCGCCUCGUGAACUCAUCUUCGGGGGUAGAGCACUGUUUCGGCUAGGGGGUCAUCCCGACUUACCAACCCGAUGCAAACUACGAAUACCGAAGAAUGUUAUCACGGGAGACACACGGCGGGUGCUAACGUCCGUCGUGAAGAGGGAAACAACCCAGACCGCCAGCUAAGGUCCCAAAGUCAUGGUUAAGUGGGAAACGAUGUGGGAAGGCCCAGACAGCCAGGAUGUUGGCUUAGAAGCAGCCAUCAUUUAAAGAAAGCGUAAUAGCUCACUGGUCGAGUCGGCCUGCGCGGAAGAUGUAACGGGGCUAAACCAUGCACCGAAGCUGCGGCAGCGACGCUUAUGCGUUGUUGGGUAGGGGAGCGUUCUGUAAGCCGUUGAAGGUGGCCUGUGAGGGUUGCUGGAGGUAUCAGAAGUGCGAAUGCUGACAUAAGUAACGAUAAUGCGGGUGAAAAACCCGCACGCCGGAAGACCAAGGGUUCCUGUCCAACGUUAAUCGGGGCAGGGUGAGUCGACCCCUAAGGCGAGGCCGAAAGGCGUAGUCGAUGGGAAACAGGUUAAUAUUCCUGUACUCGGUGUUACUGCGAAGGGGGGACGGAGAAGGCUAUGUUGGCCGGGCGACGGUUGUCCCGGUUUAAGCAUGUAGGCGGAUGUUCCAGGUAAAUCCGGAACGUCACUAACGCUGAGGUGUGAUGACGAGGCACUACGGUGCUGAAGUGACAAAUGCCCUGCUUCCAGGAAAAGCCUCUAAGCAUCAGGUAACAUCAAAUCGUACCCCAAACCGACACAGGUGGUCAGGUAGAGAAUACCAAGGCGCUUGAGAGAACUCGGGUGAAGGAACUAGGCAAAAUGGUGCCGUAACUUCGGGAGAAGGCACGCUGAUGGUAGGUGAAGCGACUUGCUCGUGGAGCUGAAAUCAGUCGAAGAUACCAGCUGGCUGCAACUGUUUAUUAAAAACACAGCACUGUGCAAACACGAAAGUGGACGUAUACGGUGUGACGCCUGCCCGGUGCCGGAAGGUUAAUUGAUGGGGUUAUCCGUAAGGAGAAGCUCUUGAUCGAAGCCCCGGUAAACGGCGGCCGUAACUAUAACGGUCCUAAGGUAGCGAAAUUCCUUGUCGGGUAAGUUCCGACCUGCACGAAUGGCGUAAUGAUGGCCAGGCUGUCUCCACCCGAGACUCAGUGAAAUUGAACUCGCUGUGAAGAUGCAGUGUACCCGCGGCAAGACGGAAAGACCCCGUGAACCUUUACUAUAGCUUGACACUGAACACUGGUCCUUGAUGUGUAGGAUAGGUGGGAGGCUUUGAAGUGUGGACGCCAGUCUGCAUGGAGCCAUCCUUGAAAUACCACCCUUUAAUGGCUGGUGUUCUAACGUGGGCCCCUGAUCGGGGUUGCGGACAGUGUCUGGUGGGUAGUUUGACUGGGGCGGUCUCCUCCUAAAGAGUAACGGAGGAGCACGAAGGUCAGCUAAUCCUGGUCGGACAUCAGGAGGUUAGUGCAAUGGCAUAAGCUGGCUUGACUGCGAGCGUGACGGCGCGAGCAGGUGCGAAAGCAGGUCAUAGUGAUCCGGUGGUUCUGAAUGGAAGGGCCAUCGCUCAACGGAUAAAAGGUACUCCGGGGAUAACAGGCUGAUACCGCCCAAGAGUUCAUAUCGACGGCGGUGUUUGGCACCUCGAUGUCGGCUCAUCACAUCCUGGGGCUGAAGUAGGUCCCAAGGGUAUGGCUGUUCGCCAUUUAAAGUGGUACGCGAGCUGGGUUUAGAACGUCGUGAGACAGUUCGGUCCCUAUCUGCCGUGGGCGCUGGAGAAUUGAGGGGGGCUGCUCCUAGUACGAGAGGACCGGAGUGGACGCAUCACUGGUGUUCGGGUUGUCAUGCCAAUGGCAUUGCCCGGUAGCUAAAUGCGGAAGAGAUAAGUGCUGAAAGCAUCUAAGCACGAAACUUGCCCGAGAUGAGUUCUCCCUGACUCCUUGAGAGUCCUGAAGGAACGUUGAAGACGACGACGUUGAUAGGCCGGGUGUGUAAGCGCAGCGAUGCGUUGAGCUAACCGGUACUAAUGAACCGUGAGGCUUAACCUU
rnacentral:rRNA from 2 species